rnacentral:lncRNA from 1 species
CAGUCUUAAGACUCCCAAGCAUACCUCAGAGAACUAUGCAACCGUGAUGGGGUGAGAGAACAGACUGACCUGACUCCUGUGUGUGCACCCUGUGUACAAACCUGUGGGGAUACGGCUUGACUGUCACACUCCUGUCAUGUACCCUAGGGGAAGCCGCUGUAGGAAGUAGACAGAGAAUUGAGAGGGAAUCAAGCAGUCCUCUCUCAUCACACUUUAAAGAACAGCUGAUAGAACGGGCUUGGUUUGGCCAUGUAAAUGACCUUACAAGACUUUUUUCAAGCCAAGUUUGAAAGAAGAGAAAAUAACUGAACACCUUGCUUCCUCUAGGUACUUCAGUGGGAAGAAAAGGAAGGGACCAAGCUUGGGAGUUAAAAGAACCAAGUUCAAAUUCUGAUCUUCUUCUCUUCACAGCUGAGGCAUGACUCUGUAACACAGGAGGAAGGUUUCAAUGAAGGAAGCUCUCAACCCUAAGAAGGGGGUUCCUAAGUCUUCACAUCCUCUGUGACUGUCAAAACAUACGUGUGACGUCCAGCCUGCAUGCUGGGUGUGAUGAGCCAUCCAGCCCUCCAGCACCUUUCCUCCCGGGAGCUUCUGAGAAAGUAAGACAUGGCUUCCACGUGGAGACAGACCCGCAGCAACAUCAAGUGACUGAACUGCCUCAUGGUCACCUUCCGUUUCCUCAAAAUCUACUUACGCACACAGCACAGGACCCUGUGCUUUCCCAAAGAACUGGAAGCGCAAUCUUUCUCUCCGUAGCAGGUUGAGUGAAAUGCCAGAGAGGAGUAAGAGCGAGGCAGGGCGGGCUCACGGGACGGCAGAGGAGGGCCCGGCACACUCGGGGCUGAGGGCAGGAGAGGGAAAGUAAGCAUCAAAGAAAGUUCGGAGUCACCCCAUAGGGGUAAAGUCAAAAAGAAGCAACAACGGUUGUGGCUCAUGACGGAAAUGAAGCUUCCAGGAAGGAGAAGUUUGGGUAAAAUUCUGCACCCAAAACUCAUCUUACUUCCCACCACUUUAACACAUGACACAGAAACAAUGGCAGCCCAAACAAUACAGGAUGAGAGCAAAGAUGGAGGGGUGCUUGCUAUUCCACUAUUACAUGAAACGGUUCCAUUUAGUCCAACCCUUCGGACUUACUGAAGCCAUCAAGUCUCUAGAGUACAAUGGCCUGAUGUUGGGUUGGCAAGAAGAUUCUGAGUCUGCAUCUGCAUUACAGUAGGCCAGCAUUGUGGGGUGGGCUUCAUCCUGUCACCUGCUCCUCAGAGCUCGAGGACCCAUGAAGGGACUGGGGAAACGACAGAAGUUCCCAGUCUUACCAUUCUGACUGAAAGCUUUUAGAUGGUGGCUACGCACAAAGAAAAAAUGUCUGGUAACACAGACACGCACGCUCUGUCUCCUGCUGCUCCGUGUCGGCUACUGCUUAUGUUUAGAGUCUCUCUGAGUUUCUAGUUUUGGGGAGAUGACUCAGAGAACUUGAGGACCUGGCUUUGAUUGGAAGAUGGGAAUCAGAGACAGAGACAGGGGGAUCCCUGGAGCUAACUAGCUACUCUAGCUUUGUCAGGAAGCCUCAAGUCCAGUGGGCGAAGCAAAACAUACUCGGUUAGUUAGAGAUUCCACGCCCAGUGACACAGGAGAAUUUCAGAAGGGCCCGGCCCAGUGAGCUGAGUGGACCUUCUGGAAGCUGGGCUUUUGGAGAAGCAAGAUGGCAGCCACGAAUACCCACGUGCACACAGAGAGCAGAAGCUUUAUUCUGAGCACCCCACGGACUCAACAGCCAGGCAGCUUCUCAACAAAGACCCCCCAGGCAUCACUGAACACUUUUGGAAUCUAUGAAGACGGCGUAUUCAAGCUGAGUACAUCUAGAGUAACCUCCAGCAGCCAGGAGAUAAACUCUUCAUGCAAUUGUUGAGAACGGAUGAAGAAAGAUGAGCCGGUGGACCCCGAUGGAGAAGUGAGCCCUAGUCAGAAUGCAGCUGACUAGCUAGGCCUUGCAUUCCCAACCUUCAGCACCGUAACAGAGAACGCCAGCAUUCCUGCAAAGGUGAGAUGGUAACACAAGGCUGGUGUGCCUGCCAUCCAGGGCCUCCACUCUGAACUCAACCGCAAAUGGUGGGGCUGACCACCAGGCUGAAGACCUGGCCUUCCAUACUUGAAGUGUCCAGUCCUAAGGUACAGACAUAUGUGUG